rnacentral:rRNA from 1 species
AGUCGAACGAGAAAUUUCUUCUUCGGAAGAGAGAGUAAAGUGGCGCACGGGUGAGUAACGCGUAGAUAAUCUACCCCCAGGUUGGGGAUAACACUGCGAAAGCGGUGCUAAUACCGGAUAAGCUCCGGGGAAUGCGAAUUUUCCGGAGGAAAGGUGGCCUCUGAUACAAGCAAUCGCCUGGGGAGGAGUCUGCGUAUCAUUAGCUAGUAGGUGGGGUAAGAGCCUACCUAGGCCACGAUGAUUAGCGGGUCUGAGAGGAUGAUCCGCCACACUGGAACUGACACACGGACCAGACUCCUACGGGAGGCAGCAGUGAGGAAUUUUGCGCAAUGGGGGAAACCCUGACGCAGCGACGCCGCGUGAGUGAAGAAGGCCUUCGGGUUGUAAAGCUCUGUCAGAUGGGAAUAAGUUCAUUCGUGUUAAUAGCACGGGUGUUUGAAGGUACCAUCAAAGGAAGCACCGGCUAACUCCGUGCCAGCAGCCGCGGUAAUACGGAGGGUGCAAGCGUUGUUCGGAAUCACUGGGCGUAAAGGGCACGCAGGCGGCCAAUCAAGUCAGGUGUGAAAUUCCAGGGCUCAACCCUGGACGUGCAUCUGAAACUGGUUGGCUUGAGUAUGGGAGAGGAAAGUGGAAUUCCCGGUGUAGAGGUGAAAUUCGUAGAUAUCGGGAGGAAUACCUGAGGCGAAGGCGACUUUCUGGACCAAUACUGACGCUGAGGUGCGAAAGCGUGGGUAGCGAACAGGAUUAGAUACCCUGGUAGUCCACAGCUGUAAACAAUGUGCACUAGAUGUUGUAGGAGUUGACACCUUCGGUGUCGAAGCUAACGCGAUAAGUGCACCGGCUGAGGAGUACCGCCGCGAGGAUAAAACUCAGAGGAAUUGACGGGCGCCCGCACAAGCGGAGGAGUAUGUGGUUUAAUUCGAUGCAACGCGAAGAACCUUACCUGGUCUUGACAUCCCGGGGGUCUCCUGGAGACGGGAGAGUGCUUCUAGCGAAGAGCCCGGUGACAGGU